rnacentral:sRNA from 1 species
ACGUUCUUCAGUGUAGUUUUAAGUUAUCUUCCUUCCUGAAUUCCUUGGGAGUUUGCAAGCUCGGACUUGCCGAAAUCUUGCCAUGUUGUACGUUGGGCUGUGAACUCCUUUGAGGACUGGGUUUUCAGCAUUUCUCCAUUGCCCAGGGCUUAACACCGCGCCUGAUACCCAUUACUGCUCAAAACAAUGUUUUAUAGAAUGCAAUGGAAAAGUAAGGCUAUUAUCGCCUAGAUUUUUUUUUAAAAGAAAUUUUUUUUUAAUAGGAGAAUGUUAUGUAACAGUUAACAAACUUUGUUGGACGUUGUAUAUUAUAUAAUGAACCUGCCUUGGUAGAGGCAACACGUCUUUUGGUAAUCAGUGGCUGUAGGAGAUAGAGAUAAUUUUAAUUGCUCCUCAAACCUUAGUGUUUCAUCCUGAUUUCCAUGUGGUAUCUGAUCAUUAGGCUCUUGAAGGCCUUUUUAGCUGUGCCUUGAUUUUUCCCUUUCAUUGUUGACCUGAGACCUCUCCAGUUGGUGUGGACACAGGACUUUCCCAUGGUUUUCCUGCCUUGGCCAUUUCAUCUCUGAGCAGAGGGUGGGCAAAGUAAGGAAGAGAAGAAAUAACUAAAACUAGUCAGUUUGGUCUGUUAUUAACGGAAAAAGAUGCAAAAUAACUGCUUAUAUUAAGGCUUUUGUUUAUAUGCCUAAUAUUGAGAUGUCAGUGGAGAGUUUUGCAGAAAGGUAGUUUCUAAUGUUUAAGUCACAAAUGAAAGACAACCUCUGUAGAGUGGUUUAUAUGUAACAGAAGUUAACCUAAGCUUUUUGAGUUUGGGUAUUAUAUCAUUUUUCCCUCUCUUGUUUUUCUUCCCCCCGUUUCGUCUAUUCCCUUACUUCAGAAGGGAUUACGUUUUCUAUACAUGAUCAUCAUCCUUUUGUUUUAAGGUUAUUACGACCUAUUGCCCUGCUAACAACGAGCCAAUAGCAAGAGUCCGACAGGCUAGUGUGGCAGACUAUGAAGAAACUAUAAAGAAAGCAAGAGAAGCAUGGAAAAUCUGGGCAGAUAUUCCUGCUCCAAAACGAGGAGAAAUAGUAAGACAGAUUGGCGAUGCCUUGCGGGAGAAGAUCCAAGUACUAGGAAGCUUGGUGUCUUUGGAGAUGGGGAAAAUCUUAGUGGAAGGUGUGGGUGAAGUUCAGGAGUAUGUGGAUAUCUGUGACUAUGCUGUUGGUUUAUCAAGGAUGAUUGGAGGACCUAUCUUGCCUUCUGAAAGACCUGGCCAUGCGCUGAUUGAGCAGUGGAAUCCUGUAGGCCUGGUUGGAAUCAUCACAGCAUUCAAUUUCCCUGUGGCAGUGUAUGGUUGGAACAAUGCCAUUGCCAUGAUCUGUGGAAAUGUCUGCCUCUGGAAAGGAGCUCCAACCACUUCCCUCAUUAGUGUGGCUGUCACAAAGAUAAUAGCCAAGGUUCUGGAGGACAACAAGCUGCCUGGUGCAAUUUGUUCCUUGACUUGUGGUGGAGCAGAUAUUGGCACAGCAAUGGCCAAAGAUGAACGAGUGAACCUGCUGUCCUUCACCGGGAGCACUCAGGUGGGAAAACAGGUGGCCCUGAUGGUGCAGGAAAGGUUUGGUAAGUGUUGGCUUUCUCAUGAGGAUUUUAAUUCUCUCAAAUAUGGAGGUGAAAUCUAAAAGUUGAGUUUUUGUUUUCCCCUCAACCUUUUCCAUGGAGGCAGUGGUCAUGUUUAUUUGAAUGUCUAAGUAAAAGAAAAGGGUACAGUUAUUAGCAGUUGAAUAUUAGGGAAGUCCUAAAUUUAAAUACCAAAAUUUAUGAAAAUCCCAGCACUUUGGG